rnacentral:rRNA from 1 species
UACGUAGGGGGCAAGCGUUGUCCGGAUUUAUUGGGCGUAAAGAGCUCGUAGGCGGUUUAGUAAGUCGGGUGUGAAAUCUCCGUGCUCAACACGGAGGGGCCACUCGAUACUGCUAUGACUUGAGUUCGGUAGAGGAGUGUGGAAUUCCAGGUGUAGCGGUGAAAUGCGCAGAUAUCUGGAGGAACACCCGUAGCGAAGGCGGCACUCUGGGCCGAUACUGACGCUGAGGAGCGAAAGCGUGGGGAGCAAACAGGAUUAGAUACCCUGGUAGUCCACGCCGUAAACGUUGGGUACUAGGUGUGGGGCUCUAUUGACGGGUUCCGUGCCGAAGCUAACGCAUUAAGUACCCCGCCUGGGGAGUACGGCCGCAAGGCUA